UACGUAGGUGACAAGCGUUAUCCGGAAUUAUUGGGCGUAAAGGGUGCGUAGGCGGCUAAUUAAGUACAAGGUUAAAGUUCAGAGCUCAACUCUGUGAUGCCUUGUAAACUGGUUGGCUAGAGUACAGGAGAGGUGAGUGGAAUUCCAUGUGUAGCGGUAAAAUGCGUAGAGAUAUGGAGGAACACCAGUGGCGAAGGCGGCUCACUGGCCUGUAACUGACGCUGAGGCACGAAAGCGUGGGGAGCAAAUAGGAUUAGAUACCCCGGUA
rnacentral:rRNA from 1 species